UCUGCCAAAACGCUGCUCCCCUCUCCGUCCGUACCGCGGCUUCUCCUCCACGCCCCAGCCGCCGCCGCCGCGGCGCCCAGCGCUUUCACCCUCCGCUCGCUCCCGCCGGCGAGGACCCCGUUUCUCCCCUCCCUCCCGAGCCCGGCCUCGCUGAGGCGCGCCGCCGCGUCCGCCUUCUCCCCUGCCGCCCCGCCGCCGCGGCCCCCAUCGCGGCGUCGCUUCUUGAGGGCCCCGUGCUGGUCUGGGGCGGCCGGCUUUGCCUCUACUACUCACUCCUUCACGCCGGGCUCGCGUGCUCCCCGCGCAACCCCUUCCUCGUCCACGAGAUCGGCAAGGACGGCUCCGGUGACAGCGACCUAGGGUUCUCCAAGUGAGCCGAGAAGCUCCGUGGCGGCGCCUCAGUUGCUGGACGAGCUGCUACCUAACCAGUGGGUGUAGGCUGAGAACGUGUGAUUCGGUGCACAGGUGUUGCGAUUAGCUGGUUGCUUGGCAUUUGUAUGCCCUUGUAAGGUGCAAUGAUUAUUUCGGUGCGUGGCGAGGCAUGUGGCAAGGGCCCUGGAAUGACUUGUCAAACUUGACAUCAUGGCGUUGAUGGAGAAAACCAAGGAGGACACCAGACUAUCAUAAUGAAGGUGACAUGGUUGUCUUCGCAUGGUUGCAGGUGCCAAUUCUAAUUAUGCUUUGCUGGACUAUAUAAAGCAGGCAAGGUGUUUGCAGCAAUGCCUUGCUGAAACUUUCGAUUAACAAGAGCAGCUGAGGAUAGUAUCACUGUGCUCUUUUUCAAAAACAAGCUCCCAACAAGCACGAAUCUGAAAAGACGUGGACUUCUGAAGUGAACUCCGUGGUACCGACUUAAAAAGCUUCUCUUGGCCUAUCUGCAUGUGAUGGUGUAUUAUUGGAUGAAAAGGAGAAGAAUGACUCUUGUGUUGAAUCGUUAUGGACAUAUUUGGGUAAUUAUGUAGACCAAAUCCCAUGAAUCAUUAUGGACAUAUUUAUUUAGUAAUAUGGAUAUUUGCAGCCUAUUAAAGUUCUAAAAGGCUUGUUGCUGGGGACGCCUUCAUUUUCCUCAGAGGAGAAAAUGGUGAACUUCGAGUUGGUGUUAGGUGGGCUAUAAGGCAGUUGUCUAACGUAACUUCUUCAGUCAUAUCUAGCCAAAGCAUGCACCUCGAAGUCCUUGCAACUGCAUGGCAUGCCAUCAACACUAAAUCCAUGUUCACUGCAUACUACAAUCCAAACCUAGGACGAGCCCCUCAGGUCAUCAUACCAUAUGAUCAGUAUAUGGAGUCAUUAAAGAACAAUUAUUCUAUUGGGAUGAGAUUCAGGAUGCGGUUUGAAGGGGAAGAGGCACCAGAGCAAAGGUAAUUAUAUUGCCUUAUUGGCCUUCUGUACUUACGUAGUUUCUUGUCGUCUGGUCUCAACAUUGUCCGUGGUGGUUAUUUGCAGUUAUUCAAAGUAAUUAGUUUUGAUAUAUCAUUAUCUUGCCUUGUAGGUUUACUGAUAUUUGCAGGUAUUAAAGUUAAACUGAAAUAUAAAUUAGAAAUGCUAGCUUUAGUACGUGUAAAAUUUUGUGAUGUUAAAUACUUUUUCCCCUAUAGAGUAAUGAUGCUUCUACUUAUUAACACUUAUUUAAAAAAAGAAAUGAAUCAAGCAUCACUGGCAGUGAUUAGAAUUUUUACUCAAGUAUAGGCAACAGAUAAAUGGGGUAGGCAAGCUUUUCCUUUCCUAGGUUAGUUCUUCAUAUGUCUAUACUCUGUAAUUUGUACACAUAAAUAGAAAUCAGAAAAAAUAAUUAGGAUUUGUAAAUGAUCAAAAGUGUCAGCACUGCAUCGACUCCAUAAUCCCAAUCAAGGAAAGUCUUUGCAGCCAGCAUGCAUAUAUACUUGCAUGUGCCUUAAAAAAAUUUUGGUGCUGUUGGUGUGGUUGGUAUGUGAAUUCUUGAUUGAAAUCGAUGAAGAUUGGUGAGCUCAAGAAGUUGGUGGGAGUAGGGAACAUUAGUUACUGUAUGUGCUUUUGGAUGCUUCAAGGCACAAUGUUUCCUUCAAGAAUGUAAAGAAUCGUAAUCUUGCUACAAUAUCUCAAAACGUAUCUUUGGAUGCUGAGAUUCAGGUAGGAAGACACUUCAGUUGUUUAGGAUUGCUUUCACUUUAGGACGAGUAUCUUUAGCACAAUGUUUAGGAUUGUUGUCAGCAACAAGAAGCGGUAUGGGUUGUGUAAGGCUAUGAAAGGACAAGUAUUAUGUGAAUGUUUGCGUGUGAAUAUUAAUGGAUUUGAAAAAUAUCAUUUGUUGUCCA